GAUGAACGCUGGCGGCGUGCUUAACACAUGCAAGUCGAACGGAAAGGCCCAAGCUUGCUUGGGUACUCGAGUGGCGAACGGGUGAGUAACACGUGGGUGAUCUGCCCUGCACUUCGGGAUAAGCCUGGGAAACUGGGUCUAAUACCGGAUAGGACCACAUUUUGGAUGGUGUGGUGGAAAGUUUUUCGGUGUGGGAUGAGCUCGCGGCCUAUCAGCUUGUUGGUGGGGUAAUGGCCUACCAAGGCGUCGACGGGUAGCCGGCCUGAGAGGGUGUACGGCCACAUUGGGACUGAGAUACGGCCCAGACUCCUACGGGAGGCAGCAGUGGGGAAUAUUGCACAAUGGGCGCAAGCCUGAUGCAGCGACGCCGCGUGGGGGAUGACGGCCUUCGGGUUGUAAACUCCUUUCGCUAGGGACGAAGCGUUUUUGUGACGGUACCUGGAGAAGAAGCACCGGCCAACUACGUG
rnacentral:rRNA from 1 species